GACGAACGCUGGCGGCGUGCUUAACACAUGCAAGUCGAACGAUGAAGCCGGAGCUUGCUCUGGUGAAUUAGUGGCGAACGGGUGAGUAACACGUGAGUAACCUGCCCUUGACUCUGGGAUAACUGCGGGAAACUGUAGCUAAUACCGGAUACGACCCUCGGAGGCAUCUCCUGGGGGUGGAAAGAAUUUCGGUCAAGGAUGGACUCGCGGCCUAUCAGCUAGUUGGUGAGGUACCGGCUCACCAAGGCGAAGACGGGUAGCCGGCCUGAGAGGGUGACCGGCCACACUGGGACUGGGACACGGCCCAGACUCCUGCGGGAGGCAGCAGGGGGGAAUAUUGCACAAUGGGCGCAAGCCUGAUGCAGCAACGCCGCGUGAGGGAUGACGGCCUUCGGGUUGUAAACCUCUUUUAGUAGGGAAGAAGCGAAAGUGACGGUACCUGCAGAAAAAGCACCGGCUAACUACGUGCCAGCAGCCGCGGUAA
rnacentral:rRNA from 1 species